UGAGAACUAGUAAUCAAAUUGCCAUAGUCCU
rnacentral:piRNA from 1 species